AGUGAACGCUGGCGGCAGGCCUAAUACAUGCAAGUCGAACGGCAGCACAGCAGAGCUUGCUCUGUGGGUGGCGAGUGGCGGACGGGUGAGGAAUACAUGGGAAUCUGCCCAGUCGUGGGGGAUAACGUAUGGAAACGUACGCUAAUACCGCAUGCGCCCUACGGGGGAAAGUCGGGGACCGCAAGGCCUGACGCGAUUGGAUGAGCCCAUGUUCGAUUAGCUAGUUGGCGGGGUAAAGGCCCACCAAGGCGACGAUCGAUAGCUGGUCUGAGAGGAUGAUCAGCCACACUGGAACUGAGACACGGUCCAGACUCCUACGGGAGGCAGCAGUAGGGAAUAUUGGACAAUGGGGGCAACCCUGAUCCAGCCAUGCCGCGUGAGUGAAGAAGGCCCUCGGGUUGUAAAGCUCUUUUGUCCGGAAAGAAAGCAAUCGGUUAAUACCCAGUUGUUCUGACGGUACCGGAAGAAUAAGCACCGGCUAACUUCGUGCC
rnacentral:rRNA from 1 species